UUGCAGAGGCAGCUUCUGGUGCGGUGCCGUCCGAGUCUCCUGGAACGGAGCGCCAUAGAGGGUGAGAGCCCCGUAUGGACGGAUGCCAAACCUGUGUGAAGCUCCUUCGACGAGUCGAGUAGUUUGGGAAUGCUGCUCUAAAUGGGAGGUAAAUUCCUUCUAAAGCUAAAUAUUGGCCAGAGACCGAUAGCGCACAAGUAGAGUGAUCGAAAGAUGAAAAGCACUUUGAAAAGAGGGUUAAACAGCACGUGAAAUUGUUGAAAGGGAAGCGCUUGUGACCAGACUUGAGCGCGGCGGAUCAUCCGGNGUUCUCACCGGUGCACUCCGCCGUGUCCAGGCCAGCAUCGGUUUCCGCGGGGGGACAAAGGUCCCGGGAACGUAGCUCCUCCGGGAGUGUUAUAGCCCAGGGCGCAAUGCCCCCGCGGGGACCGAGGACCGCGCAUCUGCAAGGAUGCUGGCGUAAUGG
rnacentral:rRNA from 1 species